rnacentral:rRNA from 1 species
AUACGUAGGGAGCGAGCGUUGUCCGGAAUUACUGGGUGUAAAGGGAGCGUAGGCGGAGUGCAAGUCAGAUGUGAAAUACAUGGGCUCAACCCAUGGGCUGCAUUUGAAACUGCAUUUCUUGAGUGAAGUAGAGGUAAGCGGAAUUCCUGGUGUAGCGGUGAAAUGCGUAGAUAUCAGGAGGAACACCGGUGGCGAAGGCGGCUUACUGGGCUUUUACUGACGCUGAGGCUCGAAAGCGUGGGGAGCAAACAGGAUUAGAUACCCUGGUAGUCCACGCUGUAAACGAUGAUUACUAGGUGUGGGGGGACUGACCCCCUCCGUGCCGCAGUUAACACAAUAAGUAAUCCACCUGGGGAGUACGGCCGCAAGGUUGAAACUCAAAUGAAUUGGCGGGG